rnacentral:rRNA from 1 species
CCUACGGGAUGCACCAGUGGGGAAUAUUGGACAAUGGGCGAAAGCCUGAUCCAGCAAUGCCGCGUGUGUGAAGAAGGCCUUCGGAUUGUAAAGCACUUUCGACGGGGACGAUGAUGACGGUACCCGUAGAAGAAGCCCCGGCUAACUACGUGCCAGCAGCCGCGGUAAUACGAAGGGGGCUAGCGUUGCUCGGAAUGACUGGGCGUAAAGGGCGCGUAGGCGGUUUAUGCAGUCAGAUGUGAAAUCCCCGGGCUUAGCCUGGGAGGUGCAUUUGAGACGCAUAGGCUAGAGGUCGAGAGAGGGUUGUGGAAUUCCCAGUGUAGAGGUGGAAUUCGUAGAUAUUGGGAAGAACACCGGUGGCGAAGGCGGCAACCUGGCUCGAUACUGACGCUGAGGCGCGAAAGCGUGGGGAGCAAACAGGAUUAGAUACCCGUGUAGUC